UACGAAGGGUGCAAGCGUUACUCGGAAUUACUGGGCGUAAAGCGUGCGUAGGUGGUUUGUUAAGUCUGAUGUGAAAGCCCUGGGCUCAACCUGGGAACGGCAUUGGAAACUGGCUUACUAGAGUGCGGUAGAGGGUGUGGAAUUCCCGGUGUAGCAGUGAAAUGCGUAGAUAUCGGGAGGAACAUCUGUGGCGAAGGCGACACCCUGGACCAGCACUGACACUGAGGCACGAAAGCGUGGGGAGCAAACAGGG
rnacentral:rRNA from 1 species